CCUACGGGGGGCAGCAGUGAGGAAUAUUGCGCAAUGGAGGCAACUCUGACGCAGCCAUGCCGCGUGCAGGAAGAAGGCGCUACGCGUUGUAAACUGCUUUUAUCCGGGAAGAAACCCCUCGACGUGUCGAGGGUUGACGGUACCGGAGGAAUAAGCACCGGCUAACUUCGUGCCAGCAGCCGCGGUAAUACGAAGGGUGCAAGCGUUAUCCGGAUUCAUUGGGUUUAAAGGGUGCGUAGGCGGAGCGUUAAGUCAGUGGUGAAAUCCUGCAGCUCAACUGUAGACUUGCCAUUGAUACUGGCGCUCUUGAGUGCGCUUGAAGUAGGCGGAAUGUGCCGUGUAGCGGUGAAAUGCUUAGAUAUGGCACAGAACACCAAUUGCGAAGGCAGCUUACUAAGGCGAUACUGACGCUGAGGCACGAAAGCGUGGGGAUCGAACAGGAUUAGAUACCCCUGUAGUC
rnacentral:rRNA from 1 species